UUGUAGCUUCUGUGGAGCCCAGCUGAUGUUUGUCCUAACCUUGUCAGAAAAACAGGUGCCUGAAGGCAAGGAAACGGGUGUUUCUAGAUCUGUAGAAAGUGCGUAAUUAACAUGGAGAUCAACCCUCCGUAGUCACGAGAUCCUUGCAAAUCUCCUGCCUCAUGAUUACAUGUCUAGAGCAGAGCCCGAGCCAGGUGGUAACUGAUGGACUGCUUCGGAGAGCAGCUGUCUUUGUGCUCAUGUGAGUUGUCUGCGUCAAUCUGGCGUGGAGCAAGAGCCCCUGUGCUUGUGCUGUGCUGACAGCUGAAGAGGUUUUGGCGCUGAGCGUUGAAGGGUAGCUGCUAAAGUCUUUUGUUUCUCUUGACAGGAAGCCCAGAAUUCCCAUGUCUACUGGUGGCGCUACUGCAUUCGCCUGGAGAACCUUGACAGUGAAGUGGUACAACUCCGAGAGCGGCACUGGAGGAUAUUUAGCUUGUCUGGCACCUUGGAAACAGUCAGGGGCCGUGGCGUUGUAGGAAGGGAGCCAGUUUUAUCCAAAGAACAGCCGGCGUUUCAGUACAGCAGUCACGUCUCCCUGCAGGCAUCCAGUGGUCACAUGUGGGGUACUUUUCGAUUUGAGAGGCCUGAUGGCUCCCACUUUGAUGUCCGAAUCCCACCCUUUUCUCUGGAAAGCAACAAAGAUGAGAAGACCCCCCCCUCCGGCCUUCACUGGUAGAGCAGACUGAGUGACGAGACCCACAGAGACCUGUGUGUGUUGUAGUCCUUUGCCUCCCCAUUAUGCUGCAGCCAAGAACACGGAGCUUUUAAACAUUUUAGACCAUUUUUGUUUUAACUGUCGUCUAACGGGGAGGCUUUUUUGAACUUUAACACUGGCUCUCUCAGGCUGCUUGUAAACAUAAGCUGUGUUACAGUUAACCCUUCCCUUUGUGGCACCUGCUGGGGUUGGAGCUGGGGGACGUAGAUCUGUGCUGCGUCAGAAGACUGGCCCCCUCGGCAGGCCUGGAGCCUUUCCAAUAUGUUGUGAAUUCUCUGCAAUGUGAGGUUUCUCUAAUAAACUGGCCCUUCCAGUUGCAA